rnacentral:rRNA from 1 species
GUCGACUUCUCUCCAGAUCUUUCCCCAGCGGCCGCCACAUCUCCAGAUCCUUCCCCAACCACCCUCCGAGCUGCUCACCCCUACUUUCUUUCCCCAAUCACUCCACCACAUCGUCUGAAGAUGGAGGAAGCACAGACCAAGGCAGCAACAGCUCAGCGACGAUCCAGACCUCCCCCUAUCCAUCUGGUGGUGCCGUGCAGAGCCACCGAGCGGGCCGCAUCAAGGCGUCUGGUGGAGUCGCGCCGCGGUGGCUGAGGAGCUGUGCCCAGUCGCUGUCGGUCCCAAGCCGCCAGGGGAUGCGCCGUGCCCCUUCUUCACCGAGGGGCCCGUUUCCGCCGCAUACGCCGUCCUCGACGUUGUCUUCUCCAUCGACCUCGACGGGCUGUGAGCCGCAUGCCCCACCAGGUCCCUCCCUACCUUCUACUACUUUUGAUUUUUUCCGGCUUCCCUAAGGAUUGUCGACGCGCAGGCAACGUCGAGCAUGUGUUGAGGCAAGAUACUGGCUGAUAUGGUUCUCGCUCCGAUGAGCAUGGAUCCGCUUACUCAGUAGCAUGGAUCUGGGCGAUAUGGUGGAGGAUAUGGCAUCUCCCUUCGAUGCCGUCGGAGAAGAUGGCUAGAUCUACGUCCAGAAGGGCAUGUGAAUGUGCAGCAUAAAAUCUUUCUGUACAAAAAUUGUUAGUAGCACAAAUUUGUUGUCUGGAAUGGUGUUGGAGCGUUCUCGUCGGUCAAGAUCGGCUACUCAAAAUAUUAUUUGUUGUCCGUCGAGUGCUGAGCAGGGUGGUGGCUGCAAAGUAGGAUAGUUUGUUCUCAGCUCGGAGAAUCUCCAAGACUUCGUUUGUUUGGAUUUCUAGCGUUUUGCUCCUCGUGUAUUGGCUGAAAAUAUAUGUAAUUUUAUUUUUUUGUGAUGUUUUUUUCUUUUAUGUAAAAUGUUAUUUUCUACUGUGUUUGUGUAAAAUUUUGGCUAUAAAAUUUGAUUUUUUGAGAAAGUGCU